rnacentral:rRNA from 1 species
GACGAACGCUGGCGGCGUGCUUAACACAUGCAAGUCGAGCGGUAAGGCCCUUUCGGGGGUACACGAGCGGCGAACGGGUGAGUAACACGUGGGUGACCUGCCCUCAGCUCUGGGAUAAGCCCGGGAAACUGGGUCUAAUACCGGAUAUGACUCCAUGACGCAUGUUGUGGGGUGGAAAGCCUUGUGCGGCUGAGGAUGGGCCCGCGGCCUAUCAGCUUGUUGGUGGGGUGAUGGCCUACCAAGGCGACGACGGGUAGCCGGCCUGAGAGGGCGACCGGCCACACUGGGACUGAGACACGGCCCAGACUCCUACGGGAGGCAGCAGUGGGGAAUCUUGCGCAAUGGGCGAAAGCCUGACGCAGCGACGCCGCGUGAGGAUGAC